GCCAAACAGCUAGCUCACCCACCAAAACCCAUAUUACAAGAUUUGUAAGUUUUGCCCAAUUUAACAACAAUAAUCAAACCAUUUUUCCGUCCCAGUAUAGGCGAUAGAAAAGACACUAUGAAGCGAUAGAACCAGUACCGCAAGGGAACGCUGAAAGAGAACUGAAAUAAACCAUUUAAGCCUAAAAAAGCAGAGACACAUCCUCGUACCUUUUGCAUCAUGAUUUAGCCAGAACCUGCGAGCAAAGAGAAACUUUAGUUCGCAACCCCGAAACCAAGUGAGCUACCCCGAGACAGCCUCCAUUAUAGGGCCAACCCGUCUCUGUGGCAAAAGAGUGGGAAGAUCUCCGGGUAGGGUGACAGACCUACCGAACUUGGUGAUAGCUGGUUACCUAAGAAAUGGAUAUUAGUUCAGCCUCGUAUCUCCCCAACCCACAUAAGCACCACUGCCCUAAGGAAAAGAGAAAACUACGAGAGUUAGUUAAAGGGGGUACAGCCCCUUUGAACCAGGACACAACCUGACCCAGGAGGUUAAGGGUCAUACCCAACAAGACACCUAGCUUCAGUGGGCUUAGAGGCAGCCACCUGCAUCAGAGAGCGUUAAAGCUCAAGCUAACCUAUUAGUCUUUUAUUCUGACAUAAAAACCCCAAACCCCUACUUUUAUUAGGUCAUUCCAUGCACCCAUGGAAGAGAUUCUGCUAAAAUGAGUAAUAAGAAGAUAAACCCUUCUCCGUGCCCACGCUUAAGUUAGAUCGGACCCCCCACUAACAAUUAACGAACCCAGACAAAGAGGGAAAAAUGGCUAUUUAACAAAAACAAGAAAACCUCAAACCACCUUAUCGUUAACCUUACACCGGAGGGCUCUCAGGAAAGAUUAAAAGAAAGGGAAGGAACUCGGCAAACACAAGCCCCGCCUGUUUACCAAAAACAUCGCCUCCUGCAAAAAUCAAUGUAUAGGAGGUCCUACCUGCCCGGUGACCAAGUUAAACGGCCGCGGUAUUUUGACCGUGCAAAGGUAGCGCAAUCACUUGUCUUUUAAAUAGAGACCUGUAUGAAUGGUGAAACGAGGGCUUAACUGUCUCCCCUCUCCAAUCAAUGAAAUUGAUCUACCCGUGCAGAAGCGGGUAUUAACAUACAAGACGAGAAGACCCUAUGGAGCUUAAGAUAUAAGUCACCUGUGUAAAAACCUCUAAUCAAAAGAACAAAACAAAACAACGACUGACUGACAUCUUCGGUUGGGGCGACCACGGGAGAAAAAAAAUCCCCCGCGUGGAAUGAGGUAUUCCCUUAAAACCACGAGGUACACCUCUAAGUCACAGAACUUCUGACCAAAAGAUCCGGCACUAAGCCGAUCAACGAACCAAGUUACCCUAGGGAUAACAGCGCAAUCCUCUUCAAGAGUUCCUAUCGACAAGGGGGUUUACGACCUCGAUGUUGGAUCAGGACAUCCUAAUGGUGCAGCCGCUAUUAAGGGUUCGUUUGUUCAACGAUUAAAGUCCUACGUGAUCUGAGUUCAGACCGGAGUAAUCCAGGUCAGUUUCUAUCUGUAAAGUCACCUCUCCUAGUACGAAAGGACCGGAGACAUAAGGCCCCCGCCACCGACACGCCUUACUUCCACUUAAUGACACCAACUCAAUUAAGUAAAGAAGGACGAAAGGUGCCCCGAGGUGCCUGGGGUU
rnacentral:rRNA from 1 species